CCUUCGGGAGGCAGCAGUGAGGAAUAUUGGUCAAUGGGAGAGAUCCUGAACCAGCCAAGCCGCGUGAGGGAAGACGGCCCUAUGGGUUGUAAACCUCUUUUGUCGGAGAACAAAACCCGGGACGUGUCCCGGACUGCGUGUAUCCGAAGAAAAAGCAUUGGCUAACUCCGUGCCAGCAGCCGCGGUAAUACGGAGGAUGCGAGCGUUAUCCGGAUUUAUUGGGUUUAAAGGGUGCGUAGGCGGUCCGUUAAGUCAGCGGUAAAAAUGCGGUGCUCAACGCCGUCGAGCCGUUGAAACUGGCGUUCUUGAGUGGGCGAGAAGUAUGCGGAAUGCGUGGUGUAGCGGUGAAAUGCAUAGAUAUCACGCAGAACUCCGAUUGCGAAGGCAGCAUACCGGCGCCCUACUGACGCUGAGGCACGAAAGCGUGGGUAUCGAACAGGAUUAGAUACCCGAGUAGUC
rnacentral:rRNA from 1 species